rnacentral:rRNA from 1 species
GUCGAGGGGCAGCGGGAUUGAAGCUUGCUUCAAUUGCCGGCGACCGGCGCACGGGUGAGUAACGCGUAUCCAACCUUCCGCUUACUCGGGGAUAGCCUUUCGAAAGAAAGAUUAAUACCCGAUNGUAUCUUAAGCACGCAUGAGAUUAAGAUUAAAGAUUUAUCGGUAAGCGAUGGGGAUGCGUUCCAUUAGGCANNUGGCGGGGU